rnacentral:rRNA from 1 species
CCUACGGGAGGCAGCAGUGGGGAAUAUUGGGCAAUGGGCGCAAGCCUGACCCAGCAACGCCGCGUGAAGGAAGAAGGCUUUCGGGUUGUAAACUUCUUUUCUCAGGGACGAAGAGAAUAAGGGUCCCUUAGCAUUAAGCCCGGGCUACCUGCGUGCCAGCAGCAGCGGAACUACGUGGGGGGCAAGGGUUUUCCGGAUUUAUUGGGGGUAAGGGGCGGGUAGGCGGGGGGGCAAGUCAGAUGUGAAACCUCAGGGCUCAACCGUGGACCUGCCUUUGAAACUGUGGUUCUUGAGUGCGGGAGAGGCAAACGGAAUUCCGGGUGUAGCGGUGAAAUGCGUAGAUAUAAGGAGGAACACCAGUGGCGAAGGCGGAUUGCUGGACAGUAACUGACGCUGAGGCGCGAAAGCGUGGGGAGCAAACAGGAUUAGAUACCCGGGUAGUC